UACGUAGGUGGCAAGCGUUGUCCGGAUUUAUUGGGUUUAAAGGGUGCGUAGGCGGUCUUUUAAGUCAGUGCUGAAAUACUCCAGCUUAACUGGAGGGGUGGCAUUGAUACUGGAAGACUUGAGUGUAGUUGAAGUAGGCGGAAUUGACGGUGUAGCGGUGAAAUGCUUAGAUAUCGUCAAGAACACCGAUAGUGAAGACAGCUUACUAAGCUACAACUGACGCUGAGGCACGAAAGUGUGGGGAUCAAACGGG
rnacentral:rRNA from 1 species